rnacentral:rRNA from 1 species
GUAGUCCACGCCGUAAACGAUGGAUGCUAGCUGUUCUCGGUAUCGACCCCGAGUGUAGCGAAGCUAACGCGUUAAGCAUCCCGCCUGUGGAGUACGGUCGCAAGACUAAAACAUAAAGGAAUUGACGGGGACCCGCACAAGCGGUGGAGCGUGUUGUUUAAUUCGAUGGUAAGCGAAGAACCUUACCCAGGUUUGACAUCCUGCGAAUUUCUCCGAAAGGAGAAAGUGCUUUUAGAGCGCAGUGACAGGUGCUGCAUGGCCGUCGUCAGCUCGUGUCGUGAGAUGUUUGGUUAAGUCCAUCAACGAGCGCAACCCUUGUGAUUAGUUGAAUUUUUCUAAUCAGACUGCCCUGGUAACAGGGA